AGCUCAGAUCUCAAGUUCUCUACUCGACAACAAAUCCCCAAAUCCAUCUCUCUCUCCCCCAAAAAAUCGAUCUCUCUUCCCUCUUGCUCUCGUCGUCGAUCGCUCCCUGCCGACGAAGUUUUUGCUCUCGUCGAUCGAUCCCUGCCGACGAAGUUCGUGCUCUCGUCGAUCGAUCCCUGCCGACGAACUCUCCUGCUCACAAAUCUCGCCGACGAACGCUCUUGCUCACAAAUCUCACCGACGAACAAGUCCUGCUCACAAAUCUAGCCGAUGAACUCCGCCGUCGACCCCCGCCGCCAACUCCUCUAGACGAACUCCGCCAAAUCACAAUAUUGAAAUGGCUUCAUCAUCAACUGUGGAAGGUAACUCAUGUGUUGAAGUUGAUAUUAGAUUCAUAUUGAAACAAUGCGAGUGUGGUGAAUUAGCGGAUGUGAAGAUAACGAAGUCGAACAAGAACAAUAACCGUGGUAGAAUUUACUACUCGUGUAAAAGGCAAAAGUGCGGCUCGUUUUUGGGCUGGUGCAAGAUUUCAUCAGUUGAACAAAUACCACUCGUCAUUGCCCCACCAGAGGCACGUGACUUGGUUGUUGUAUGUGAAAAAGUGUUGUGGAAAAUGGUUAACUGUUAUAGCUUUUUUGUUGUCUUUUUCUUUGGCCAUGAAAGAAAUUAUGUGAUGUGUUGGAAUGAAACAAGACUUUGUAAGUGAGGAAAUUAUGUGUUGUGGAAUCGGUAUUUUGUAAUGCUUCACGCUUUGAUGUGUUGGAAUGAAACAAGUCUGUUAAUUUUUGCU